AUGAACGCUGGCGGCGUGCCUAAUACAUGCAAGUCGAGCGACUGAUUAGAGCUGCUUCGGGAUGACGUGAGCGGCGAACGGGUGAGUAACACGUGAGUCAACCUGCCCUGUAGACUGGGAUAACCUUCGGGAAACCGGAGGCUAAUACCGGAUAUGAUCCUGCCGUCCUGCAUGGUGAGAUGGAUUGGAAAGAUGUUUUCGGCUAGCCGUAGAUGGGCUCCGCGUGCAUAUAGCUAGUUGGUGAGGUGACGGCUCACCUAAGGCGACGAGGGCAUAGCCGACCUGAGAGGGUGAUCCGGCCACACUGGGACUGAGACACGGCCCAGACUCCUACGGGAGGCAGCAGUAGGGAAUCUUGCCCAAUGGACGAAAGUCCUGACUGAGCGACGCCGCGUGAGGGAUGAAGGCCUUCGGGUCGUAAACCUCUUUUAGGGAGACAGGACGAGAGUACUGCUCGUACCUUGACGGUACCUAGCCAGAAAGCCACGGCCAACUACGUGCCAGCAGCCGCGGUAAGACGUAGGUGGCGAAGCGUUGUCCGGAUUAUUGGGCGUAAAGCGCUCGCUAGGCGGUUGCUUAGUCGGAUGUGAAAUCCCACGGCUCAACCGUGGAGGGUGCAUUGGAUACGGGGGACUUAGAGUGCAGGUAGGAGAGCUGGAAUUCCACUGGUGUAGCGGUGAAAUGCGUAGAGAUUAGGAGGAACACCAGGUGGCGAAGGCGGGUCUUUGGGCUGAUACUGACGCUGAGGCGCGAAAGCGUGGGGAGCGAACAGGAUUAGAUACCCUGGUAGUCCACGCCUGUAAACGAUGAGGGCUAGGUGUUAGAGGGACUUUCCGGCCUUUAUGUGCUGCAGCUAACGCAUUAAGCGACUCCGCCUGGGGAGUACGGUCGCAAGACUGAAACUCAAAGGAAUUGACGGGGGCCCGCACAAGCGGUGGAGCAUGUGGAUUUAAUUCGAUGCAACGCGAAGAACCUUACCAGGGUCUUGACAUCCCCGGACAGACUCGCAGAGAUAGAGCGGGUCCCUUCGGGGACAUAGUGACAAGUGGUGCAUGGUUGUCGUCAGCUCGUGUCGUGAGAUGUUGGGUUAAGUCCCGCAACGAGCGCAACCCUUGAUCGAUAGUUGCCAGCAGGUUAGGGGGGCACUCAUCGAAGUGACUGCCGGGGUACAACUCGGAGGAAGGUGGGGAUGACGUCAAGUCAUCAUGCCCCUUAUGUACCUGGGCUACAGCACUGCUACUAGUGGAUGGUACAAAGGGCUGCGAUGACCGCUAGGUGGCAGCGAAUCCCAUAAAAGCCAGGUCUCAGUUCGGAUUGGAGGUCUGCAACUCGCCUACAGUGAAGUCGGAGUCGCUAGUAAUCGCAGAUCAGCAUGCCUGCGGUGAAUACGUUCCCGGGCCUUGUACACACCGCCCGUCACAGUCACGAAGUUGGCAACACCCGAAGUCGGUGGACCUAACCUGUAGGAGCGAGCCGUCCGAAGGUGGGACAGAUGAUUGGGUAC
rnacentral:rRNA from 1 species